rnacentral:lncRNA from 1 species
GCCAAAUGUAAGACUCCUUGAAAAGCUCGAAAGCUAUGAUGUAUACUGGGGAGAAAGCAGGAGAGAUCAAAGGGUCGUAGGCACUUUGUGCAGGGAGGCUACUCAGAUGGCCACACUAACGGCAAGGGAAACCUCCAGUGGUUCCAGCCAAUCUGAUUUGGGAAAAAUUCCUUCCUGACACUAAAGCAUCAUUUUAAUCCUGAUACAGCAUCCAGGCACCAGUGUUCUCAGUGUAACGGGAAGAAACGGCACCAGCAGUAAACAUCCCUUCUGUAGCUGUGGCCAAUAUCUGAUGCUUCGGAGAAAGGUGGAAAAAACAAAACAACGCUAGAAGCCAAGCUAUGCAUCAAGCAGGUGGAGAAUUCCUUCCUGCUCCUACAUCUGGCCCGUGGAAAUCCCUGAAGCAUGAGUUUAAUUAAUUGGCUGCCUAUCUCACACCCUUCCCGUCACUGCUGAACAUGACCUGAGGGAAACUAGUGUGCAACACUUGGUGGACUGAAGCACCAGGCUACCCCUCUCCAGCUUUGGCUGCUCCUAGGCUGGGCUCUGAUGUUUCCAGUGCAUCAUCUUGCUCUUCUCCAUGAGAACAACUAAUACGAUAAGGAAAAGGAGCAUGAUUGCACCAUGGCCUGACCUGCUCCGAUCAGUGGGACUGGUGAGGAGUCAGAGGAUCCACUCCACUGAGUGAUCGUCCCAGGAGACGGGGGUCGGAGCAAAGCGGACAUAAGACAGUACUUAUAUGUUUGUGAAGCCUGAC